AGCAGUCGCCACGGUAAUACGUAGGGUGCGAGCGUUAAUCGGAAUUACUGGGAGUAAAGCGUGCGCAGGCGGUGCUGCAAGACCGAUGUGAAAGCCCCGGGCUUAACCUGGGAACUGCAUUGGUGACUGCAGCGCUGGAGUAUGGCAGAGGGGGGUGGAAUUCCACGUGUAGCAGUGAAAUGCGUAGAGAUGUGGAGGAACACCGAUGGCGAAGGCAGCCCCCUGGGCCAAUACUGACGCUCAUGCACGAAAGCGUGGGGAGCAAACAGGAUUAGAUACCCCGGUAGUCCCUGUCUCUUAUAA
rnacentral:rRNA from 1 species